UACGGAGGGUGCAAGCGUUGCUCGGAAUUAUUGGGCGUAAAGGGCAGGUAGGUGGUCUCGUUUGUCUGGGGUGAAAGCCUUGAGCUUAACUCAAGAAGUGCCUUAGAAACGGCGAGACUAGAGUCUUGGAGAGGGUCGUGGAAUUCCCGGUGUAGCGGUGAAAUGCGUAGAUAUCUGCAGGAACACCCGUGGCGAAAGCGGCGCGCUGGACCACUACUGACGCUGAGGAACGAAAGCUAGGGGAGCAAACAGG
rnacentral:rRNA from 1 species